rnacentral:rRNA from 1 species
UACGUAGGUGGCAAGCGUUGUCCGGAAUUAUUGGGCGUAAAGCGCGCGCAGGCGGUCGAUCAAGUCGAGUGUGAAAGCCCCCGGCUCAACUGGGGAGGGUCAUUCGAUACUGAUCGACUCGAAGGCAGGAGAGGGUAGUGGAAUUCCCGGUGUAGUGGUGAAAUGCGUAGAUAUCGGGAGGAACACCAGUGGCGAAGGCGACUACCUGGCCUGUUCUUGACGCUGAGGCGCGAAAGCUAGGGGAGCAAACGGG